rnacentral:lncRNA from 1 species
AUUCGGUACAGUAUAUUGUACUGUAUCGGUUAGUAUACUGUAUGGGAAAAGGAUUUACCGCAAACUCUCUAAUGCCAAGCAAGUUUACCCAUGGUGGAAAUACACAAGGUGUGCUAUUUCGUAAACCAAAAUUUGAUCGGUUUGCGCAUGACGUCAUAUUCGAGACAACUACUCCAGACAGCAUGGAUAAUGGCAAAAGAAAACUGGAGAAAAAACUUUAUAAAAUAACAAUUAAGAAAAAUUUACGAUUUAGAAAAACAGUAUUAUUCUAAUAGAAAAUUGUUUUUAAAUCAUAUUUUAUUAUAUAAUUAUAAUUUAUAUAAAAAGUUGAUAUUUA